GACCCCUGGCAAUGGGCAAAAUGACAUCUUGUUUGGUGGUGAUGUUCUUAGCAGUCAGGGGCAGAGCAGAUGGCAGUCUUUUGUUCAUCCUAGCUUGAUGCCUGGCUUGGUGGCCAAAGCUGUCUUAUGGCUAGAACUCAUAA